rnacentral:rRNA from 1 species
AAAUGAAUUGACGGGGGCCCGCACAAGCGGUGGAGCAUGUGGUUUAAUUCGAGGCAACGCGAAGAACCUUACCAAGGCUUGACAUGGAGUUGACCGGCGCAGAGAUGCGCCUUCCCCCGAAAGGGGGCAGCUCACACAGGUGGUGCAUGGUUGUCGUCAGCUCGUGUCGUGAGAUGUUGGGUUAAGUCCCGCAACGAGCGCAACCCUUGUUUUCAGUUGCCAUCAGGUAAAGCUGGGCACUCUGGAGAUACUGCCGUGGUCAAAACACGGAGGAAGGUGGGGAUGAGGUCAAAUCAUCAUGCCCCUUACGUCUUGGGCUACACACGUGCUACAAUGGCUCCUACAAAGUGAAGCGAACCCGCGAGGGGGAGCGGACCACAAAAAGGGGCCCCAGUUCGGAUUGCAGGCUGCAACUCGCCUGCAUAAAGUCGGAAUCGCUAGUAAUCGCGAAUCAGCAUGUCGCGGUGAAUACGUUCCCGGGCCUUGUACACACCGCCCGU